GGGACUUGGCGGCGUGCUAUACAUGCAAGUCGAACGCUUCUUUUUCCACCGGAGCUUGCUCCACCGGAAAAAGAGGAGUGGCGAACGGGUGAGUAACACGUGGGUAACCUGCCCAUCAGAAGGGGAUAACACUUGGAAACAGGUGCUAAUACCGUAUAACAAUCGAAACCGCAUGGUUUUGAUUUGAAAGGCGCUUUCGGGUGUCGCUGAUGGAUGGACCCGCGGUGCAUUAGCUAGUUGGUGAGGUAACGGCUCACCAAGGCCACGAUGCAUAGCCGACCUGAGAGGGUGAUCGGCCACAUUGGGACUGAGACACGGCCCAAACUCCUACGGGAGGCAGCAGUAGGGAAUCUUCGGCAAUGGACGAAAGUCUGACCGAGCAACGCCGCGUGAGUGAAGAAGGUUUUCGGAUCGUAAAACUCUGUUGUUAGAGAAGAACAAGGAUGAGAGUAACUGUUCAUCCCUUGACGGUAUCUAACCAGAAAGCCACGGCUAACUACGUGCCAGCAGCCGCGGUAAUACGUAGGUGGCAAGCGUUGUCCGGAUUUAUUGGGCGUAAAGCGAGCGCAGGCGGUUUCUUAAGUCUGAUGUGAAAGCCCCCGGCUCAACCGGGGAGGGUCAUUGGAAACUGGGAGACUUGAGUGCAGAAGAGGAGAGUGGAAUUCCAUGUGUAGCGGUGAAAUGCGUAGAUAUAUGGAGGAACACCAGUGGCGAAGGCGGCUCUCUGGUCUGUAACUGACGCUGAGGCUCGAAAGCGUGGGGAGCAAACAGGAUUAGAUACCCUGGUAGUCCACGCCGUAAACGAUGAGUGCUAAGUGUUGGAGGGUUUCCGCCCUUCAGUGCUGCAGCUAACGCAUUAAGCACUCCGCCUGGGGAGUACGACCGCAAGGUUGAAACUCAAAGGAAUUGACGGGGGCCCGCACAAGCGGUGGAGCAUGUGGUUUAAUUCGAAGCAACGCGAAGAACCUUACCAGGUCUUGACAUCCUUUGACCACUCUAGAGAUAGAGCUUUCUGUUUCGGGGGCAAAGUGACAGGUGGUGCAUGGUUGUCGUCAGCUCGUGUCGUGAGAUGUUGGGUUAAGUCCCGCAACGAGCGCAACCCUUAUUGUUAGUUGCCAUCAUUCAGUG
rnacentral:rRNA from 1 species